CGCUGAACGCGGUGGGGCUGUGCUCGGCGCGCGGCGUCUGCGACCACGCCGAGUACACGCCGCGCUCCAACGUAUACCCUGAUAUUAUGAAUGUAAUGGUAAAGCAAAAAAACAAAAGCGUAUCGUGUCGGACGAUGUUCCCGACAUUUUUAUUGUUUUUAUUUUUUAUGUAUUUAUUAAAUAAAACGAGAGCUUGCUUUUUAUUUUAA